rnacentral:rRNA from 1 species
AUGGCGGACAAUUCUACCUGCAUAGAGCCCUUUUUAAAGUGCUGCCAGGAGACUUCCAAUUGUUUUACCGACUGCACCGAUGGGGUCGAGGAUAUGUUCUCUGACUCCAUAUCAGGGCAGUUGUGGCGAGUGGAGGCGAUGCUGUUCGUCAACGCCAUCCUUGCAGGAGUCAUGGUCGGAAUAGGCGCCUACGGUCACCGUUAUCGCCACUAUGGCUUCACCCGCUAUCUCUUGCUGGGGGCAACCACCUUGUUCCUACCCAUCAUAUCUUAUGUCCUCUCUGCGUUUGGCUCCGUUGGCUAUGAGUUUGAUGUCACUAUCCCCUCUCAAUUGAUAGCCACUUGUCGGGCAUACUUCAUUCACACAUACAUGGUCAUAGUAUCCAUCUGCCUUGUUCUGAUUUCUGCUAUCAAUACAAGCCCCAUAGUUGCUACUGAUGAUAGAGAAGAUCGAAGCAUACACCCUCCCUUCGAACUUCUUGUUCAAGGAAUUUGGAUAGUUUACCUGGCCCGGAAAUCCUUUGCACUCGGACACAAUCCUCGUCUUAUUGUUGGAUAUAUGCAGCAACUGCAAGUAGAAAACGAUCAACAUGCAAGUGAGGAGGAUGUGCCUCCUCCAGCACCACUUGUAGUUAUGGGUGAGGACGGACAUAAACUAGAGAAGCAACCUCAUGGUUUCAUGUUCGGAAAGAACUUGGAGGAGGUUCAACAGGGUGGUUUGGUGACCAUUGACAGAGUUUGGCAAUUAGAAAACUUGUUUCUAAAAGAUAUAUGCUUGUCAUUUGCAUUGUUUAAGUUGCUCAGGUGUCGAUAUGCAAGAUACAAACUCACCAAUGUGAUCCCUAUAGAGACAUUCAAAUUUGUCAGGAACAUCUUGCUAAAGGAUGGUGAACAUGAAAGAGCCUUCGCGAUGAUUGCAGAUGAGCUUUCUUUUCUUCAUGAUUAUUAUGAUUCACCACUCCUAGUAUCCUACUCAGAUAACUGGUUGGUUAUAGUUAGUAUGAUUAUCUCACUCUUGAGCGUGGGUUACUGCAUAUUUGUUGGGACGGACAUCAUCACAGCGGCUUGGCUCAAAAGCCAGGACGUAAACAAAGAUUUUGGAAAUUUGUAUUUUGAUGUAGUGCCGGUACUGUUACUCCUUGUGUUUGUGGCGGUUGCUGAGGCCAAGGAUAUUGCUUCGCACAUAUGCUCUAACUGGACCAAAGUAAUUCUCACCUGCCGCUGUGUGCGCCGUGCCUCCUUGAAGCUCUCUCCCGUCCUCCCGAAAUGGGUUGGCUUUUUGUUGCGAUGCAGAUGCGGCAGGUUGAUGAGGCAUUGGAGCGACAAAAUGAGACAAAGCUCAUUGCUUGUCUUACCUGGCUCUGGCUGCCUCCUUCGUUUGCUGGACCGAAAGAAGAAUGUUGAAGUACCAACGGCAGUGAAGGCUUGCAUCAUCGACGCCCUGAGAAGCACAAGCAGUGAAGGUCUAAGCAAAGGCACAACUUCCCUACGCCAGAGCCAAGAUGGCCGAAGCCUACUCUGGGCCUGCAACAACGGCAAAGGUACUUCUGACACCAUACUUGUGUGGCACAUCGCCACGGCCAUCCUUGAGAUGAGGCAUCUGCACCAUCAACCUGAUGACGAUCCUCCUCUGCAAACACUGCAUGGUGGCAGGUCUUUUUCUGUUUCCGAGAAGAAGACCGCCGCCACUCACCUGUCGCACUACUGCGCGUAUCUGGUGGCCUCCUGCCCCGAGCUACUUCCUGAUGAUGACGCAUGUAGCAAGUACCUCUACAACAAAGUCAAGAAGGACACUGACCGAGCCCUCGCCAUCGGCAGCGGCACACCGGUGUCGCCCAUGUCACCAGAAGCGGGGUACCGACAGCUGAUCGAGAUGUUGGGCGCUACACAGAAUCAUGAGGUGCUCAAGGAUGCGGCGAAGCUCGCGAAGCAGCUCGGGGAGGUGGCCGGAGGCGAAGAAAUAGUGUGGGAGUUGCUGGCCGGGUUUUGGUCAGAGAUGGUCCUUUACCUGGCUCCGUCGGACAACCUCAAAGGGCACCUGCAGGCCAUCGACCGGGGCGGCGAGCUGAUCACGCUCCUCUGGGGCUUGCUCACCCACAUCGGGAUCAUCGACAGACCUGGCGACACCGCUGCAAGUGCUUCAGCCACUGGUGUUUAA